rnacentral:rRNA from 1 species
AUUGAACGCUGGCGGCAUGCCUUACACAUGCAAGUCGAACGGCAGCACGGGAGCAAUCCUGGUGGCGAGUGGCGAACGGGUGAGUAAAGUAUCGGAACGUGCCCAGUCUGGGGGGAUAACGUAGCGAAGGUUACGCUAAUACCGCAUACGAUCUAUGGAUGAAAGCGGGGGAUCGCAAUACCUCGCGCGAUUGGAGCGGCCGAUAUCAGGUGAGGUAGUUGGUGGGGUAAAGGCUCACCAAGCCGACGAUCUGUAGCUGGUCUGAGAGGACGACAGGCCACACUGGGACUGAGACGCGGCCAAGACUCCUAAGGGAGGCAGCAGUGGGGAAUUUUGGACAAUGGGCGAAAGCAUGAUCCACCCAUGCCGCGUGCAGGAUGAAGGCCUUCGGGUUGUAAACUGCUUUUGUACGGAACGAAAAGGUUUGGCCUAAUAAGCUGAGCUCAUGACGGUACCGUAAGAAUAAGCACCGGCUAACUACGUGCCAGCAGCCGCCGUAA